rnacentral:lncRNA from 1 species
CCUGAACUCAACCUCAAUCACUAUUUAUGUCAAAAUUACGGUGGCCCUGAGGUGCAAAUCACAACAACAAAAGAGAAAACACAACGGCAAAACAGAAAACACAACAGCAAAAGAGAAACACAACGGCAAAAGAGAAAACACAACAGCAAAAGAGAAACACAACGGCAAAACAGAAAACACAACACAAAAAGAGAAAACACAACGGCAAAAGAGAAAACACAACACAAAAAGAGAAAACACAACGGCAAAACAGAAAACACAACAGCAAAAGAGAAAACACAACACAAAAAGAGAAAACACAACGGCAAAACAGAAAACACAACACAAAAAGAGAAAACACAACGGCAAAUCAGAAAACACAACACAAAAAGAGAAAACACAACGGCAACAGAGAAAACACAACACAAAAAGAGAAAACACAACGGCAAAACAGAAAACACAACACAAAAAGAGAAAACACAACGGCAAAUCAGAAAACACAACAGCAAAAGAGAAAACACAACGGCAAAACAGAAAACACAACAGCAAAAGAGAAAACACAACACAAAAAGAGAAACAACGGCAAAACAGAAAACACAACACAAAAAGAGAAAACACAACGGCAAAACAGAAAACACAACAGCAAAAGAGAAAACACAACGGCAAAACAGAAAACACAACAGCAAAAGAGAAAACACAACGGCAAAUCAGAAAACACAACACAAAAAGAGAAAACACAACGGCAAAUCAGAAAACACAACAACAUUAAUCAAACCGGAAAAGGUAGGUACCCUCGGGCGACAUGAAUCGUCGCUGAUUGGACAAAAGAACUGGUCCGUCCUUUCACUGGUACAGCGAGGAUGUGUUCAGGUACAGUCAGGAUGCGUUCAGGUACAGUCAGGUACAGCGAGGAUGCGUUCAGGUACAGUCAGGAUGUGUUCAGGUACAGUCAGGAUGCGUUCGGGUACAGUCAGGUACAGCGAGGAUGCGUUCAGGUACAGUCAGGAUGUGUUCAGGUACAGUCAGGAUGCGUUCAGGUAUAGUAAUUUGUCGUUGUGUUUUCUGAUUUGCCGUUGUGUUUUACUCUUUUGUUGUUGUGAUUUGCACCUCAGGGCCACCGAACAAAAUGGCCUCAGCUGUGCAUAA